rnacentral:rRNA from 1 species
UACGAAGGGGGCUAGCGUUGCUCGGAAUCACUGGGCGUAAAGGGUGCGUAGGCGGGUCUUUAAGUCAGGGGUGAAAUCCUGGAGCUCAACUCCAGAACUGCCUUCGAUACUGAAGAUCUUGAGUGCGGGAGAGGUGAGUGGAACUGCGAGUGUAGAGGUGAAAUUCGUAGAUAUUCGCAAGAACACCAGUGGCGAAGGCGGCUCACUGGCCCGAUACUGACGCUGAGGCACGAAAGCGUGGGGAGCAAACAGG